ensembl:lncRNA
CUAGGGAAUGAAAGAGAUGCUUUUUAUGCUUUUUUUAAUCCAGUGUAAGUUCCAGCUUGCUCAUAGAAUGGUACAGGGGUUCCGUUCAGCUCUGAAUAAACGGUUGGAACAAAGUGUUUUGUGUGCCCUGGUGGGCUGGGGAAGGCUCUGGGAAGCUGCCAGGUCCCCCAGCACGAGGUGAGGAGAGGCCAUCUGGCCCCUGUUAGACUCCAAACCAUGGCAGCAGACCAAGGUGAGGCUGCUUAAACCACUAAGGUGACAAAUUAAUUUAAUAUCAUUUCGGGCCCUUCCGAUAGGGCUGAGGGAGUUGUUCGGAGCUGUCCCUGCAGUGCCAGGGCUCUGCCCUUUGCCCUGUGGGAGCAGGAUGGGCACAGCCCUGUCCCCAAAAGCGCGGGGAGGGGUGGCAUUGAUGUGAUGGGGAGCCCCAGCACUGGGUCAGGGCUGGGAACAGCUGUUGCUGCCCCGAUGUGGAUUCAGGGGGAAAUGCGGGGCGGCUCCGCCCCCGCUGUCACCGCCCCCGCUGUCACCGCCGUGUUUAAUAUAUAUUAAAUAUAAAACCACCUCGCUCCUGGCGCCGCGCUGCCGCCGCCCCUUAUAUAGGCUGGGCUGUAUGGGCGUGGCCUCAUUGCAUAUCUGGCCCCGCCCAUCAUCUCUCGUUGAUCAGUUCCUGAGGGGGGCGCGUGCGCAGCGCGCGCUGGGGGCGGGGCCGGCGCGAGCGGGAAACCGGGACCGGGAAAAAACCGGAACCGGGACCGGGAAAAAACCGGGACCGGGAUCAGGAUCGGGGGAGCCCCGGGAUGAGGCGGCGGCGCGGGGGCGGCGCGGCCCCGGCCGAGGCCUGCGGGGUGUGGCUGGACACGGCCGAGCUGAAGCGGGGCCCGGCGCGGCCCCUCAGUGCCAAGCUCAAAGCAGCCACCCGAAUUCCUGAGAGGAAACAGAGCCUGGUGCUGCUCCCACAGCCUGGCACCAGGCAAAGCACCAUCCCCGCCUUCUUCAGACCCCACACAGAUGAAAGAGACAAAGAAAACUCCAGGCCCGCUCCCUGCACCCCAAAUAAAGACUGUAAGGACUCGGGGACUCCUCUGGCUGCCUGCCCUGUGAAGAUCCUGCCCUUGCCACAGCUGGAAGAGCCCCCUGGAGCUGAGCAGGGGCUGCAGGGCACAUCCCAGGCAUGGAAAACACCCCUGGAUCCCCAGGUGGAGUCUCAGAGGCUGAGCAGAGGCUCCCGUGGGGCUGGGGGCGACUCCUGGUGCUGCAGCUUCUCCCAGGACAAGGAGCACAGCAGGAUCAGCCCUCACAGGAACAAAUCCUGGUUAUUUCCCGGAGAAACGGCCUCAGGGAGCAGGAACCCACAGCCCUGCAGCAGAGCUAACUCUGGGAUGGGUUUUGCUGGGGCUGAGAAGACAAAUCCUGCCCCAGGGGCUGCUCCCAGAGGGGUUUGCUGCUCUCCCCAGAGCCCGGGGCCAGCUCAGCCCCUCCGAGAGCGGGGCCAGACCCCGGGGGUCUGCAGGGAACUCUUCUGCCAGGACUCGCAGGGGAACAGGGUCAUCGCCCACAGGGACAGGGACAGGGACAGCUCCCUCAGGGACAGCUGCAGCCCCAGGCAGGGCUCUGAGUGCCUGUUCACACAGGACUCGGAGGGGAACAGGGUCAUCAAGCACUGGUGAGUGACCCAGCCUGGCCCUGGGGGUGUUGUUCAGGGUGUGAUCACAGCUGGGGAACUGAACCCCCAGCACCUGUUUGUUCUCUGAGACGUUGCUUUAAUCCAAAUAAAAGGUUGGAGUUUGUUUUUAAGGGUUUGGUUGUUGCAGAGCCUGUGUCCCUGUGCUGCCCAGGCUGCACAUUCCCAGAGCAGGGACCCUGCUGACAGCUCCUUCUCCACAGACAGGCCCCAAAAUCCACCAAACCCUGGGGCAGAGGAGCCUUGUGGGGACAGGCACACUGAUCACAUCCUCCAGCAGGGGAGGAGCUCUCUCUAAAACUGGUAGUCCCUAAAUCUUCCUUCUUUCUCCCAUAAGGCUUUUCCUCUCGUUUUGAAGGUGAGGACGAUGAUUGAAUUUUUCAAGGAAAUCAAGGUGGAUUAAGAAAGCCCCUGGCACCUGAAUAUCUGGGAUUCCACCCCCCCAGCCUGCCCCACACACCAGCCCCACCCUGACCCCAUCAAUAACCCCACACACCACUCGUGUCUUAUUAAGGCUCCAUUUUAUAGAAAGGAAAAAAAAAAACAAAUCAUACUUUAAAUACAGCCAUGAGGGACACUGCGGGGAACGUGGGGCUGGGGGAGAGCUCUGAGUGAGGGAACUGCAGCCACAGCCAAGGCCAGGCUGCUCCUUCCCUGCUCUGCCUGGGGUGCUCGGCCCUUUGCAGUGGUGCGAGGUCAAUGAAGAGACCUCUGGAAGGUGAAAUGAAACACGGGUUGGGGACACAGGGACUGGGAAUGGAACAUUAAAUUACUGGCAAGAAAUUAAGGCCGUUCUGUCAUGCAACUGUGGGCUGAUCCGUGAAAAAAGAAACACCCAGGGCACACGAAAUCCCUCAGAGCCCAGCCAGGGUUUGGGGGUUUUUUUUUUGGGAAAACAGCUUUUCCCACCAUGAUCCCCCGAAGCCCUGGAGAGCUGGAAGCAGCCAUGAGCUCAUUCUCAGCAGCUCUGUACCAUGCUCAGGAUAAAGGGCUGCAGGUCUGUCCUGUUCACACUGGACGUGGGGACUGGUUCUAUCCUUACAGCUUAAUGCUUAACUGGAACCUAAGGAAAAGUGCAGGUAGAAAGAAAUUCAUCCAGCAGCACUCCGGGAGAUCCUCACCAACCAGUCACCAGCGGCAAAACACAGGUGGAAAAGAGCUUCCAUCUUCUUAAAAAGGUUUUUUUUCUUAAAUAGAACAACACAUGGGAAAAAAACACAUCAAAUCCCAAGGGUCUUUCCUAACGAAGUGUCCGGUGCACAAACCACGUCUGAAUAAUAAAAGAGGCAAAAAGGCUCAAUCCUCAGGAGAAGGCAGCUACUGUGCAGGAGGUUU